AGAGUUUGAUCAUGGCUCAGGAUGAACGCUGGCGGCGUGCCUAAUACAUGCAAGUCGAGCGGCAGCACGGUCUUCGGACUGGUGGCGAGCGGCGGACGGCUGAGUAACGCGUAGGAAUAUACCCCAAAGUGAGGGAUAACUGCCCGAAAAGGUGGCUAAUACCGCAUGUGGUCUUCGGACUAAAGCCUUCGGGCGCUUUGGGAAUAGCCUGCGUAAGAUUAGCUAGUUGGUGAGGUAAUGGCUCACCAAGGCGACGAUCUUUAGCUGGUCUGAGAGGAUGACCAGCCAGACUGGAACUGAGACACGGUCCAGACUCCUACGGGAGGCAGCAGUAGGGAAUUUUCCACAAUGGGCGAAAGCCUGAUGGAGCAACGCCGCGUGCAGGAUGAAGGCCCUCGGGUCGUAAACUGCUUUUAUGUGCGAAGAAUAUGACGGUAACACAUGAAUAAGGGUCGGCUAACUACGUG
rnacentral:rRNA from 1 species